AGCCUUGGCCCUGUGGCACGUUGGAUACACCUGAUCCCUCUAUCUCAGAAGUUAAGCAAUGUGUAGUCCGGUCAGUUCUAGGAUAGAUGACCAACCAAGGAAGACCGGAUGCUGUAGCCU
rnacentral:rRNA from 1 species